UUAAUUUUUUGGUUUUUUUGAAAAUAUUCCCACCAAAGUAGGCACAAAAUUGUGUGUUAAACGUUUUAAAAUAUACCUUGUUGGGUAUAACAAAACCUGAGGCCCUGAGGGUCCUCUAAGAAUCGAUAUCGAUUACGUACAAGGGGGGGCGGGAGGUAAUGGAAAUCCGGGAGGUAAUGGAAAUUAAAUUGGAAAUAUUCAGUGAGGGCUCUUCGAUGGUCUUCAAGAGUCUUCCAUGCAUCCAAGUCUUACAUUUUUUGCUUGGUAGAAUGUUUGCUACAGUCCAAUCAAAUACGUUUUGUCGGUGCCAAUCAUUUGACAGAUAGCGACAGGCUUACCUCGUCGUCCAAUGCAACAGAUGAUAGGGGAAAUCCGCAUCUCCAAGGAGCCUUGAAUCGAGGGAUCUCUCAGGAAGGUGUGGAAGAUUUUGCAGGAGCUUAGACGCUUCCUUCUGCGCGUUACACUCAUCCUCUGUCCCCACAUAUGGAAUACACCCCUAUACUCUCUUUGAGAAACUCCUCCCCCAUUCUUAUUCAAUAAAAUAAACAUUCAUGUUUGUGUUUAGUAUCAAAA